rnacentral:rRNA from 1 species
AUGCUUAAAAGAUUCAAGCUAAGUGAUGUCAAGCCGGCUUCUACACCAAUGCCUACCAAGUGCCAACUUGACAUCGAUCCCAAUGGUAAAACGGUGGAUCAAAAGGUAUAUCGCUCCAUGAUUGGCUCCUUGCUUUACCUUUGUGCAUCUAGACCGGAUAUCAUGUUGAGUGUGGGGAUGUGUGCACGUUUUCAAGCCGCACCAAAGGAAAGUCACUUUGUGGCGGUCAAGCGAAUCUUUCGAUAUUUGGCUCAUACCCCAAACUUUGGCUUAUGGUACCCAAGAGGAGCAAACUUCAAGCUUGAAGGUUUCACGGAUUUCGAUUGGGCGGGGGACAAAGUGGAUAGGAAGUCCACUUCCGGAGGGUGCCAAUUUCUUGGUUGCUCCUUGGUAAGUUGGUCUUCCAAGAAGCAAAGUUGUGUGUCUCUCUCGUCCACCGAAGCGGAGUAUGUGGCAGCCGGUAGUUGUUGUGCUCAACUCCUAUGGAUGAGGCAAACUUUAAAGGAGUACGGUGUCAUUUGUGACAAAGUGCCUCUUUGGUGUGAUAAUGAAAGUGCCAUCAAGAUUUCUCUCAACCCGGUGCAACACUUCAAGACGAAGCACAUUGAGAUUCGGUAUCACUUCAUUCGGGAUCACAUUAGGCGAGGGGAGAUCGAGCUCAAGUAUGUCAACACUCAUGAUAACCUUGCAGAUAUUUUCACGAAGCCCUUGGAGGAAGCAAGAUUUCGCGAGUUAAGGCAUGAGCUAAAUAUCAUUGAUUUGAGCAAUGUGACUUGA